rnacentral:misc_RNA from 1 species
UUAAGUUCAGCGGGUAGUCCUACCUGAUUUGAGGUCGAAAUGAUCAGAGAUUGUCCCUAAGGACGAUUAGAAGCUAGCUUCAACUCGAGCGAUGCAGUGAAGACAUUAUCACACCGCAUAUAUGCUGCGAAUAGAGAUCCAGCUAAUGCAUUCAAGGGAAGCCAGAACCCAGUAAUGGGCCAGCAAAGUCCCCAAGUCCA